CCUACGGGUGGCAGCAGUGAGGAAUAUUGGUCAAUGGCCGGAAGGCUGAACCAGCCAUGCCGCGUGAAGGUCAGUGCCCUAUGGGCGUUAAACUUCUUUUGUGCGGGAGCAAUAAUGGUCACGUGUGGCCAGACGAUAGUACCGUACGAAUAAGCAUCGGCUAACUCCGUGCCAGCAGCCGCGGUAAUACGGGGGAUGCAAGAGUUAUCCGGAUUUAUUGGGUUUAAAGGGUGCGUAGGCUGUGAGGUAAGUCAGCGGUGAAAUGCCCCCGCUCAACGGGGUGAAGUGCAAUUGAUACUGCAGUGCUGGAAUGCGGAUGCGGUGGGAGGAAUGUGUGGUGUAGCGGUGAAAUGCAUAGAUAUCACAAAGAACACCGAUUGCGAAGGCAUCUAACGAAUCCGCGAUUGACGCUGAUGCACGAAAGCGUGGGUAUCAAACAGGAUUAGAUACCCGGGUAGUC
rnacentral:rRNA from 1 species